rnacentral:rRNA from 1 species
GACGGAGGGUGCAAACGUUGUUCGGAAUCACUGGGCUUAAAGGGCGCGUAGGCGGUCCGACAAGUCAGGGGUGAAAUCCUGCAGCUUAACUGCAGAAGUGCCUCUGAUACUGUCGGUCUGGAGGGAGAUAGGGGUGUGCGGAACUUCCAGUGGAGCGGUGAAAUGCGUUGAUAUUGGAAGGAACGCCGGAGGCGAAAGCGGCGCACUGGAUCUCUUCUGACGCUGAGGCGCGAAAGCUAGGGGAGCAAACGGG